ACGCCCAUGUGAGCGGCCGCGAGCGCUGGGAGGACGGACCCAGCGGUCGAUGACAGGGCCUGGCGCGGUUCGCUUUUCCUGGGUGACUGUGUUCGUGGGGCUGAGGCCCUCGAGGUGCCCACUUCCAGCUUUCCACCAAUUACUGCACUGUCUUUCCGUUUCCUGCCCCGCUGACGCGUACACCUAUUUCAGACUCAGCGCAGCUCCGCGGGGAGAAAAGUGCGGGGCUCCCUCUCGGCUCCACACCAGACUCCGGAGUAGUUCGAACUGCGCUGGGGUCGCCAAGACGCGCGCUGCCCUUCUCCCAGCACUGCCCUCCCCAGCGUCUUUGACCACUCUUAAUACCCACAAACUUGAUCGGACAAUUUCUGGUGUGUCCAGCCAUGUGUCACGUACUGGGAAUACAAAAUAGAAUGAGGCAAGCUCCCUGACCUCAAAGAUUUCAGAGUUCAGUUGGAGAAAUCGACAGAAUCUGGGGUUUGCUUCUCACGCAAGAUUUUCAACAGCCUCAAUUGGUCUCUCUACUUCCGUUGUUGCAUUUCUAUGAUAUGUUGCCCGCACAACAAUCAAAAUGAUCUUUUUAGUUAGUUUGGAGCUUUGGUUUGUCAAGGAAUUAUGAGUCAACCAUCAAUAUUUGAACUAAAAGAAACAAAACUGGGCCAGGCACCGUGGUUCACACCUGGAAACCCAACACUCUGGGAGGCUGAGGUGGGGAUAUUGCUUAUACUCAGGAAUUGGAGACCAGCCUGGGCAACAUGGCGAAACCUCAUCUCUCCAAAAAUACAAAACUUAGCCAGGUGUGGUGACAUGCGCCUGUAGCCCCAGCUGAGGUGGGAGAAUCACUUGAGCCCAGGAAAUAGAAGCUGCAGUCAGCCGUGAUUGCACCACUGCACUCCAGCCUGUGUGACAUAGCAAGACCCUGCCUCAAAAAAAAUAAAAAUAAAAAAAAGCAACGAAACUGGAUUUACUGUGUACUCUAAUAAGGAAAAGCUAUGCUGGGUCGGCACAGUCUCCCCAAGCAGAGCUGGCUGCUGAUGCUCUAUGGAGCUUUGGGGAAUACAGAGUUCAGGAAUAGGUGCAUUUCAGAGGCAAAAGGGUUUGCCAUCACCUGUAGAAGAGUAGAUAUUCUGGUAAGACUGUUAUUAAUUCUCCACUGAAUUUAUUGGAGUGAACCUGUCAUUGGCUGACUUUGAGAAAGGAGGGGUUUUUCAAAACAAGUUUUACUGAGGCAGUUGAUUAAUUGAAUGGGUUUAAAACUGGUUCUAGGAGUGUGGAAACUUGCUUUAAUUCUCAGGGCUUCAAAAAAUUAUUAUAGAAAUGUGAAACCUACAGAAAAAAAAAAGGUAAAAAGGUAAUGUACCCACCAAACUGAGCAUCCAGAGAAGGACACAGGAAAGAGCUUUUUAGUCAGUGCCAACUCCCCUGUGCAUGCCUGAGAACUUCUCCUUGGGGGCUUGCCCUUCCCAGGAGUUCAGGCUACCUGGUUACCUUGCAACCCAGCUGUGUCUGAUGGUUUCAGUUAAGGUUGUGACUUUGUAGUUCAUCUGAGUUUUUCUCAUUAUUGAGAAAGGAAAGAUGUUCAUUGCAGCUUUUCAUAUCCUAAGCACAAAAGAAGUCUUUCGUCUCAAUUUUAACAGUACAUUAAUGGGGUAUUACCCUUUUUCUCCCAGUUUCACAGUUGUCUUUUGUCUUUAUGAAGUUUUUGGCUUAUUUGUUUUGUCAUGAAAAGGGUUUUUUUUAGAAUAUAGUCAAAUUUAUCAAUUUUUUCUUUUAUUGCAUCUGGAUUUUGAAACAUAAUUAGAAAUCCUUUCCUUGUACCCAGGUUAAAGAAGAAUUCACCCAUUUUUUUUUCUAGUACUUGUAUGGUUUCAUUAUUUAGAUUUAGAUUCCUGACCCAUUUGGAGUUUAUUCUUUUGCCUAGUAUGAGGUAUGGAUCAAACUUUUUAUCUUUUUCUAAAUGGCUAACCAAUUGUUAAGUCCAUCUUUGUCCAAGUGAUUUGAGAUGCCACCUUUAUUGCAUACUAAAUUCCCAUAUGUAUUUGGGUUUACUUCUGGACUUUCUUUUCGGUUGUACUGCUCUUUCUUGUCAUGCACAAGGACCACUGUUUUUAUUUUAGAGGCCUUAGAAUAUGUUUUAGUGACUGGUAGAUGUAGUCCCCUUUCAUAGCUUUUAUUUUUGUUUUCCUGGAUAUUCUUCCAUAUUUUUCCACCUGAAAUUAGUAUCAGCUUGCCUAGCUCCAUAAGAAAACUGGUAUUUUUUUAAUGAACUUUGAAAAUUAACUUAAGGAGACUUUAGUUUUUAAUGUUAAGUCAUCACAUACAAAAAAAAAAAGUGGUGUUCCAGUUUUUCAAACUAUUUCAUGUCUUUUGAGAGUGUUUUAAAGUUUUCUUCAUAUAUAUUUUACAAAUUUCUUGUUAAAUUUAUUAUUCUUUGUUGCUUUUGUAAAUGUAGUUUUCUCUACCUUUAUGUCAUGUUACUGAUUAUGUAUGUGAAGGCUGUUGAUUUAUGUAUGUUAAGUUUAUGUCCUGCCAACUUAUUGAAUUCUUCUCUAGUUUGACUUAGUUUUGCUGUUAAUUUUCUGUGAUAUUCCAGGUGUACUGUCAUACCAUCUGCAAAGACAAAGAGUUUUACUCACUCUUUUCUAGUUCUCCUGCCUUCAAUUGAUUUCUCUUUACUAACUGCAGUAGUGAGUAUCUCCAGUUCAAUGUUAAAUGGCAGUGAAGAUAGUGUACAUUCUUCCCUUAGACCUGGGAUAAAUAUUAAACAAACAGAAGAGAAAGGAAUGCUCUUCCUUGUAAUAGAAAGCCAAUCAAUACAUGUAGAAGGAAUGAUGGAAAUAUAAAACCACUGUUUGCUAGGCAUCAUCAUAAUAUCUGAUCCAGGCAAGAAUCAGUAGUUACUAAAAUUAGUGGAUAAAAGUUUGAAGUGUAAAGGAUAUAUGCAUAAUCUCAAAGUAGCUCCUCACCAGAGAUUUAUUAAUGACAAAGGAAAAAAUAGUGCAGAAGCCUGGCCCACAUACGUGAACCAAGUGAUCAUAGUUAAUACUACCAGUAUUGGAACAAAGUGACAUUAUGUGCCCCCAGAUAUGCACUGAAACUGAAAACACAAAACUCUGUGAUUUACCUAACAAAAGCUCAUCAUACCUAAAUCUCAGCAUAAGGAAACAUCAAACAAACCCAAAUUGAAGGAUAUUAUACAAAAUAACUGGCCUGAUUUCUCAGUGUCAUAAAAGACUAAGGAACUGCCCUGAUUAAAGAAGACUCCAGAGACAUAACAGCUGAAUGCAACACAUGAUCCAGGAUUUCUUUGGCUAUAGGGAACAUUAUUGGGACAGUUGACAAAAUCUAAGUUCUGUAAGUAAUUUGUAUUCUGUCAGCAUUUAUUUUCUGAUUUUGACUACUGGACUGUGGUUAUAAAAGAAGGUACCUGUGGCCGGGCGUGGUGGCUCACUCCUGUAAUCCCAGCACUUUGGGAGGCCAAGGAGGGCGGAUGGAUCACCUGAGGUCAGUUCAAGACCAGCCUGACCAACAUGGAGAAACCCCAUCUCUACCAAAAAUACAAAAUUAGCCGGGUGUGGAGGCGCAUAGCUGUAAUCCCAGCUACUCGGGAGGCUGAGGCAGGAGAAUCGCUUCAAACCAGGAGGCGGAGGUUGCCGUGAGCUGAGAUCAAGCCAUUGCACCCCAGCCUGGGCAACAAGAGCAAAAUUCAGAAAAGACGAAGACGAAGACGACGAAGACGAAGACGAAGAAGAAGAAGAGGAGGAGGAGGAGGAGGAACUUGUUUUUAGAAAACACAUACUGAGAUAUUUAGAAGUCAAAGGACAUGUACAUAUAUUAGAUAUAUAUGUAUAUGGAGAGAGAAUAAAACAAACAUGGUAAAAUGUUGCCAUUUCAGGUGUCUGGGUAGAGGUAUGUGGGAACUCUUUUUACUAGCCUUACAACUUUUCUGUAAAUCUGAAACUAUAUACACCACACUUUGACCUCCUAAGAGUCUUGUGCAUCUUUGUAUCUCAAACAUCUAGAACAGGGCCAGCUUGAAAACUGCUUAAUAAGUGAAUCCCUUAAAUCAGGAGCACGUUACACCACCUAGUGGUGUAACAAAGGAAGCUUACUGCUGUGGAAAAACCUGUUCCUGUCCACAAUGAACUUGCUCAUUCUAACUGUGUUGACCUAUUAUUAGCCAAACAAAUUGCACUUAUUUUAUAAUUAUCAAGUGAUGGGAAAGUGAAAGCAAUUUGGGGUGUAAGUAUAGGCUUUAUCAUCUUGGACACAAGGUCACUAGACUGACCAGCCUGGUUUCACAGGUGUGGGGGUGGU
rnacentral:lncRNA from 1 species